UAGCACGAGACAUCGCCUCACACAAAGUCAAGAGAUGAAGAAAGUAUCAAACACAAUGGACAUCCGAACUGACAGCCACAACCCUGACUCUCUGCGCAGAGAGAAAUGUGUCAUGGCAACCUUGAAGCUGGGUAUGUCAGGGACCCCCUUCCAGACCUUGGUGCACCCACAAGCUGGCAGGGAGCCCAGAGCGAGGUGGGGCCUGACUAGCACCCACUGCAGGGGGCCUCCCAGGACGAACUGGAAGUUCUCUGCCUUCACCCACCGCGUCUACAUCCAAUGGCUGUUCGGAACAAUCGGGCUUCCGUCACACGGAAGCACGGGUCAGAUACGAUCGCGGGGCCACAAAACCUUCUCCACAGUCAGCGCCCACCAUGCCAGGGGACAGGACAGAAGCAGCUCAAUCUCUCCAUCGGAUCUGCUUGUCUUUCCAUCGGGGCUGCCUGGCGCCUUCCCUGUGGGACGGCCCCCGUGGCCGAGUGGACACUGGGCCUCUGUUCCUGGCUCAGGACCCACUCCCACCUGAUGGUCAGCAGGCCGAGGCCGGCCUCUCUGCCAACAACUGGCCGAGGAACCACCCACACGGCUGACAUGUGGUUUAUUACAUUUUCUUUUCAGAACUUGUGCUGAGUGGACACGGGCCAUGUCACAAGGCAAGCACUUCCAUGCCUGGGGAACGUGCUGUUUCCCCCAUGUCUCUUGAAUGAAGGAAUUAAGGAGAGUCGCCCCCCACCACCCCACCCCCCCCCCACCCCCCGCAGGAAAGCACAGACCUACCAGAUGCGUGCCUGGCUGAACUAAGCUACAGCCAUUCCCUCUCCCACUGCGUUCAGGGCUUGUUUUAAAGUGCAGCAUUGCUUCCCAAGAGAAAGCAUAAUGCGCCCUCCAUAGGAGAGCACUUUUUGGUUUGCGAGGAAACUUUGUAAUAAGUCUGUGAGUCAGACAGCAUUGCUAUACUCCUUACAUUGUUUUCCAAAUAUAGGAAAUGAGGCGUGACCACAUUUACUCCGAGACGAGGGCAAGAACCCAAACGCAGAUCUUAAACAGGUGGGUCAGGGUCCCUCCUACCCAGCCCACUACCUGGGGAGGCCAUAAAGCCAAACGCUGAAGAGUGUGGCGUCUGGAUUCACACCAAUCAGGUGAAAACCUUGGUUCUACCACUUACUGUCGUGAGCUUCACAAGUUCCUUAGCCUCUUGGCCUCCAUUUCCUCAUCUGUAAAAUGGGAAUAUUAAGAAGACUGCAAUAAAGAUUACUUGAGUAAAUAUACCUUAAAAUAUCAAACGGAUCAAUCAGUAAAUCACUCCAUAAACGUAACAUGACCUACAUGUGGGGUGGGUAUUUGUGAGCCUGUGCAAUAUCGAAGCAACACAUCAGCCAAGGUCACCAUAACGUGACGGAAAGUACGAGGCUCGAGUUCUGCUUUGUGAUGUCAUCCUGGGGAGGAUGUGUUCCUAAAAACUGAAUAUAAACGUCUUUUUAAAUGUCGUAUACCAAACUCUAGCCAGAGAGAAGCAGGCCUUGAAGACAGCCUGCGUGCUGUGGACAGCUCUGGCAGUGCACCGCAGCGAACAGCAGCCUGGGACCUACGGGUGCCCCCACCCCCGACAGCCACCAAGCUCCGGACCCUCACUGGAAUCCUGCCAACAUCCCGAAGGAGCCUGGAAGCAGAUCCUUCCUCAUCCAAGUGUCCGGAUGACGACGCAGCCUGGCCGACACCUUAACUGCAGCCUGUAAGGCCCUGGGCAGGGGAACCCUGGUUCCCUCUUACAUACAGGUUUUCCUCUUCAAAUUCACCCUUUUGCAGGCAAAUUUGCUUUGCAAAAGGGUGAAUCUGAUUCGCCAAAGGGAGAAUUUGAAGUGGAAAACCUGUAUGAGACAUGCCCAGACUCCUCACUCACAGAACCUGGGAGAUAAUGUGUACUGUGUUUGUUUGUUUUUUAAUGUAAUAAGCCAACCAUAGAGAGUAUUUUAUAAGUAAAGAAGGAAAAACUAAAAACUGGCCUGUCAUCCUUCCAUGCUGAUACAGUUGUUUUGCUGGGCAUUCUCUCCCAGUCUUUCUGAUUUACCAUGGAGUAGAUCAGAGCAGUCGUACAAUUUUACAGCCUGAGUUUUUCACUUACAUUAUCCACAUUCUCCCAUGUUACAAUGUACACAUAUAUUCUUAACAUUUAUCGUUUUUAAUGGAUGUAAAAUUUUCUAUCAAGAGAUGGAGCAAAAUUAUUUAAUCUGUUUACUAUUAUUAGACAUUCCUGUGGCCUCCAAACUUCUACCAUUAUAAAUAAAACACUAUUAUAAAAAUA